CUGACCCCAUGCCGAACUCAGAAGUGAAACGCUGUAGCGCCGAUGGUAGUGUGGGGUCUCCCCAUGCGAGAGUAGGGAACUGCCAGGC
rnacentral:rRNA from 1 species